rnacentral:rRNA from 1 species
UACAGAGGGUGCGAGCGUUGUUCGGAAUUACUGGGCGUAAAGCGCGCGCAGGCGGCUUUCUAAGUCCGUUUGGUGAAAGACCGGGGCUCAACCCCGUGUCAGCCAGGGAUACUGGGAGGCUGGAGACAGGUAGAGGCAAGCGGAAUUCCGGGUGUAGCGGUGGAAUGCGUAGAGAUCCGGAGGAACACCGAUGGCGAAGGCAGCUCUCUGGCCUCUUUACUGACGCUGAGGCGCGAAAGCGUGGGGAGCGAACGGG